rnacentral:rRNA from 1 species
UACGUAGGGACCGAGCGUUGUCCGGAUUCAUUGGGCGUAAAGGGCGCGUAGGCGGCCUGCUAAGUCGGACGUGAAAUCCCCCGGCUCAACCGGGGAACUGCGUCCGAUACUGGUGGGCUCGAAUCCGGGAGAGGGAUGUGGAAUUCCAGGUGUAGCGGUGAAAUGCGUAGAUAUUGGGAAGAACACCGGUGGCGAAGGCGGCUAUCUGGCCCGUAAUUGACGCUGAGGCGCGAAAGCGUGUGGAGCAAACAGG